UACGUAGGGGGCAAGCGUUGUCCGGAAUCAUUGGGCGUAAAGCGCGUGUAGGCGGCCAGAAAAGUCCGCUGUGAAAACUCGAGGCUCAACCUCGAAGCCUGUCGGUGGAAAACUUUCUGGCUAGAGUCCGGAAGAGGAGAAUGGAAUUCCUGGUGUGAGCGGUGAAAUGCGCAGAUAUCAGGAAGAACACCCGUGGCGAAGGCGGUUCUCUGGGACGGUACUGACGCUGAGACGCGAAAGCGUGGGGAGCAAACAGG
rnacentral:rRNA from 1 species